rnacentral:rRNA from 1 species
GACGAACGCUGGCGGCGUGCCUAAUACAUGCAAGUCGAACGCUGAAGGAGGAGCUUGCUUCUCUGGAUGAGUUGCGAACGGGUGAGUAACGCGUAGGUAACCUGCCUGGUAGCGGGGGAUAACUAUUGGAAACGAUAGCUAAUACCGCAUAAUAGUAGAUGUUGCAUGACAUUUGCUUAAAAGGUGCAAUUGCAUCACUACCAGAUGGACCUGCGUUGUAUUAGCUAGUUGGUGGGGUAACGGCUCACCAAGGCGACGAUACAUAGCCGACCUGAGAGGGUGAUCGGCCACACUGGGACUGAGACACGGCCCAGACUCCUACGGGAGGCAGCAGUAGGGAAUCUUCGGCAAUGGACGGAAGUCUGACCGAGCAACGCCGCGGGAGUGAAGAAGGUUUUCGGAUCGUAAAGCUCUGUUGUAAGAGAAGAACGAGUGUGAGAGUGGAAAGUUCACACUGUGACGGUAGCUUACCAGAAAGGGACGGCUAACUACGUG